GUGUCAGCCGCCGCGGUAAGACAGAGGGUGCAAACGUUGUUCGGAAUUACUGGGCGUAAAGCGCGUGUAGGCGGCUAUGUAAGUCGGGCGUGAAAUCCCACGGCUCAACUGUGGAAGAGCACUCGAAACUGCGUAGCUAGAGUCCUGGAGAGGAAGGUGGAAUACUUGGUGUAGAGGUGAAAUUCGUAGAUAUCAAGUGGAACACCAGUGGCGAAGGCGGCCUUCUGGACAGUGACUGACGCUGAGACGCGAAAGCGUGGGGAGCAAACAGGAUUAGAUACCCGCGUAGUCC
rnacentral:rRNA from 1 species